AAGGACAUGUGGAGCGCUUAGAAGUGAGAAUGCCGGUGUGAGUAGCGAAAGACGGGUGAGAAUCCCGUCCACCGAUUGACUAAGGUUUCCAGAGGAAGGCUCGUCCGCUCUGGGUUAGUCGGGUCCUAAGCUGAGGCCGACAGGCGUAGGCGAUGGAUAACAGGUUGAUAUUCCUGUACCACCUAUAAUCGUUUUAAUCGAUGGGGGGACGCAGUAGGAUAGGCGAAGCGUGCGAUUGGAUUGCACGUCUAAGCAGUAAGGCUGAGUAUUAGGCAAAUCCGGUACUCGUUAAGGCUGAGCUGUGAUGGGGAGAAGACAUUGUGUCUUCGAGUCGUUGAUUUCACACUGCCGAGAAAAGCCUCUAGAUAGAAAAUAGGUGCCCGUACCGCAAACCGACACAGGUAGUCAAGAUGAGAAUUCUAAGGUGAGCGAGCGAACUCUCGUUAAGGAACUCGGCAAAAUGACCCCGUAACUUCGGGAGAAGGGGUGCUCUUUAGGGUUAACGCCCAGAAGAGCCGCAGUGAAUAGGCCCAAGCGACUGUUUAUCAAAAACACAGGUCUCUGCUAAACCGUAAGGUGAUGUAUAGGGGCUGACGCCUGCCCGGUGCUGGAAGGUUAAGAGGAGUGGUUAGCUUCUGCGAAGCUACGAAUCGAAGCCCCAGUAAACGGCGGCCGUAACUAUAACGGUCCUAAGGUAGCGAAAUUCCUUGUCGGGUAAGUUCCGACCCGCACGAAAGGCGUAACGAUUUGGGCACUGUCUCAACGAGAGACUCGGUGAAAUCAUAGUACCUGUGAAGAUGCAGGUUACCCGCGACAGGACGGAAAGACCCCGUGGAGCUUUACUGUAGCCUGAUAUUGAAAUUCGGCACAGCUUGUACAGGAUAGGUAGGAGCCUUUGAAACGUGAGCGCUAGCUUACGUGGAGGCGCUGGUGGGAUACUACCCUAGCUGUGUUGGCUUUCUAACCCGCACCACUUAUCGUGGUGGGAGACAGUGUCAGGCGGGCAGUUUGACUGGGGCGGUCGCCUCCUAAAAGGUAACGGAGGCGCUCAAAGGUUCCCUCAGAAUGGUUGGAAAUCAUUCAUAGAGUGUAAAGGCAUAAGGGAGCUUGACUGCGAGACCUACAAGUCGAGCAGGGUCGAAAGACGGACUUAGUGAUCCGGUGGUUCCGCAUGGAAGGGCCAUCGCUCAACGGAUAAAAGCUACCCCGGGGAUAACAGGCUUAUCUCCCCCAAGAGUUCACAUCGACGGGGAGGUUUGGCACCUCGAUGUCGGCUCAUCGCAUCCUGGGGCUGUAGUCGGUCCCAAGGGUUGGGCUGUUCGCCCAUUAAAGCGGUACGCGAGCUGGGUUCAGAACGUCGUGAGACAGUUCGGUCCCUAUCCGUCGUGGGCGUAGGAAAUUUGAGAGGAGCUGUCCUUAGUACGAGAGGACCGGGAUGGACAUACCUCUGGUGUACCAGUUGUCGUGCCAACGGCAUAGCUGGGUAGCUAUGUGUGGACGGGAUAAGUGCUGAAAGCAUCUAAGCAUGAAGCCCCCCUCAAGAUGAGAUUUCCCAACUUCGGUUAUAAGAUCCCUCAAAGAUGAUGAGGUUAAUAGGUUCGAGGUGGAAGCAUGGUGACAUGUGGAGCUGACGAAUACUAAUCGAUCGAAGACUUAAUCAA
rnacentral:rRNA from 1 species